AUUGAACGCUGGCGGCAGGCCUAACACAUGCAAGUCGAGCGAGCGGCGGACGGGUGAGUAAUGUCUGGGAAACUGCCUGAUGGAGGGGGAUAACUAUUGGAAACGGUAGCUAAUACAGCAUACCAUCAGAUGUGCCCAGAUGGGAUUAGCUAGUAGGUGGGGUAACGUCUCACCUCGGCGACGAUCCCUAGCUGGUCUGCGAGGAUGACCAGCAACACUGGAACUGAAACACGGUCCAGACUCCUAAGGGAGGCAGCAGUGGGGAAUAUUGCACAAUGGGCGCAAGCCUGAUGCAGCCAUGCCGCGUGUAUGAAGAAGGCCUUCGGGUUGUAAAGUACUUUCAGCGGGGAGGCGUUACCCGCAGAAGAAGCACCGGCUAACUCCGUGCGAGCAGCCGCGGUAAUAC
rnacentral:rRNA from 1 species